UAAUGUGGUGGCUUCUCUCCCUUAGGUGGCUUGCCAACUGGGGUUGGUGGCUUGUGUUCAGGAAGUGGUUUCUCUCCCAUGGGAGGUUUAGCAAUUGGGGUUGGUGGCUUGUGUUCUGGGAGUGGCUUCUCUCCCUUGGGAGGUUUAGUAGGUGACUUGUGUUCUGGAGGUGGCUUCUCCACCGGAGGCUUGUGCUCCGGUGGUGGCUUCUUGGUUGGAGGGGGCUUGGGGUAAUCAGCAAGAGAUGGGGUGGUGAGAACCACCAGUCCAAGGAACAACACUAGCAAGUAUGUGGGAGACAUUUUUGAGUUUGGGCUGAUCAGAUGAUGCAAAACUAAAGCAUUACGUGACCUUUUAUAGCAUGUAGCUCCCAAUACCCACUAAGUAUUGUGGGGUCCAUUUGUGCCCUACGGGGUUGAAAACUUAGACAAUUGGGCAAGGACCCACCUGACUAUGGAGGACUAGUGAGGUGUGAUCAUAGCUUUAGGAUUUUUCUUCCUCUGCAGCCGUCGUGCCGUUGGCAUGAUUUUCUUAAUCUUAAAUAAAGGCAUAGUUAUAGAGUUGUUUAAUCUCUAAAUGGGAUUUUAUAUAUAUCUUCAGAUAGCCAUUAAUAUAUUUGAUGAAGAAAGAAAGACAAGUGCAUACAACAUGUAUACGACUAGCUUUCAUGGAGUUCAUUUAUGAUCAGUUUUCCUGUACAUGUAAACCAGGAUCAUAUAUAUGUUUCUGUUCCACAACUAUUUUGGAAUCUUGUUUAUCAGUUUUUAUCAUUAUAAUGUCACAUAGGCUGCCAACUUGGGCGCUAAAAGAACCAGUUGGGCUAGUUCGUUUCAGAAUUUCAAUGUGGAUUCAGGAAUUGUUUUGUAAGAUAUGCGAAAUAGUAGAGGGAUGAAUAGUGUUUCAUUAAUAAAAGUGUCCUGUAAAUUAGAAGGUGUCAUAGAAACUAUAAUCAAUAAAUAACUUUUUUUCCCCACGGGUGGUGUUUCUUGUGGGGAUCAGUGACUGGUUUAGGUUCACCCAAAAUGAGUUCAGACUAAAAUUGGUUUGAGUCAAUGCCGUGUCUCUUUUUUCCAGAAAUCAACUAUUUUAUGCAUUGAAUAAAUCAUACAAAGAAAAUAUGAACGCCCGCAAAACCUAAACCCUGGUUGCUAACUUUCUAUGUUUCAGUUCUAUUCACGCAAGAAUAUUAGUUUAAGUUUGGGAAAAAUGGCAACUUACCUAGUGAUUACUUGGUUUUGGUUUGCGACUAUUUACGCAACCAACCAUGAGUUUGACUUUAACGUCAUGGGUUGAAGCCUCCUACAGGAAGGGAGAAAGCUCCACAGCUAGCUCCAAAAGAGAAUUAUCACAUUGAUAGCUCCAGAGAUUCCCAAGGGGACUGAAUCAAAGACAAGUUCCUCACUUUUUCUUCUUUUGAGGCCAAAUAUGAACCAAGGAUCACACAACCUCAUUCAACUUCAUAAGUUUGAUUUCAUGCAGUUGAACACUGGGUGAAGGCCAUGACAAGAAUUGAUUCAAAAAUUCUAUCACUCUUUUAAGUAAUGGAAGAUUAUUAUCUCUGAUUGGCAUCACAACAGCACAUGCUCCUAGAUCUUUCUAGACACUCCAUGCAAUGAAAGCACAAUGGAUCUUGUAACGAUAGAAACUAAGCCAUGCUACAGUACUAGAUGAUGAGGUAAAACUAGUAGACACGGGUGGCAGCCUAUAUGGGAGGGACACAAGUCUAAUUGAUUUGCAUUUCAGCAUUAUAGAUAGGUAUGUUUUGGAAGAUUUGUUCUGGAAAUACCGCACCAAGUAGGAUUCUUUUUCUCUUUAGUGGGUCCACUUGCAUGCCAAUUAACGAGUUGAAAAGUAUGAGCACCUACCUCGUGCUCGUGGAACCGAAGGUCAGUGAAGUGGGGCUCCUUUUGGCCUCGUGUAAACUUGAUUCAGAAGUGAAGUUAAUAGUCUUCCAUUCAGAUGGAUACAUGGGAAUUUUUCUCUUUUAUUUAUUUAUUUAUUUUUUUUUUGUGUGUGUAUGUCAAAGGAUAAUGAAUGAAGCGCGUUAGCUUGUUUUCUGACUGGAACCGCAGAUGUCCAAAUUGGAGUUCCUUCAUUUCUUACUUAGGAUUGUUACAUGUAUAAACAAGGUAUAAGAAAUAUGCCAACGUGUCUUGAGGAGUUAUUGAUUAGAAAUAACAAGUCACCCGACUGUAGAGUUCCAAGAUUUGAAUCUUCAGACCCUAUAGCAGCCUCUGGGGUACGUGGCAUCCUAUAGCAUAUUAAUGAAGGCUUUUUCGAUUUAGACUUCACAAUACCAAUUAAUAUGUAUGCACAAAAUGGAGAUGACCCCAAAAAAAACAGAAUCGCCAUAGUUUAUGAGGUUAAGGUGAUUCUCCACUUAAUAUCUACAUUAGCUAAUUAUGUAAAUCAAAUGAACUUCUAUUUUUCCUUUUUUUUUUUGGUUUAUGUCAAAUAGUAGCCCAUAAUUAACCCAACCAUUAGCCUGUUUGAAUUGAUUUCACAUGCACAAUGUUGUAGUAGUUCAUAUUUUGAAUUUUAUUUUUACAAAGGUAGUUAAGGAAAAUGAAGUAUAAUAAUUAUAAAAGCAGACUAUAUACACUACAAUAAUUGUUAGAAUGGUAUCUCAAAUUCUAAUUUAAAAUAUUAUUUUUUGUAAAAGAAAUAUUAUAUAGAAUAUUUCCUAAUUUUAUAAAUGAUUAUAAUUAGAUCUUUAUAAAAUAAGGAAAGUUGGUAAGAAUAUCUUUAUAAAUAUUUUAGGUCAUGAGAGAAAGAAAUGGGAUAAAAAUGUGAUGAAGAGGUGAAAUAAGAGAGUUGAUUAGGAUAUAGAUGUGAAGAAGAAAGGGAUUCAAUAUAUAUAUAUCUUUCAAUUACCACAUUAAAACCCUGUGAACCUUUUAUAUGGUUUACUUUAUUUUUAUAUUCCUCCUUUAAUAUAUUUACAUUAAUGCUUCCAUUGGCACAACAAUAACGAAUUACAAAUACAAGCAACAAGUCCCAUGUUUUAUUACCAAAAGCAGGUAAAAUCCACCUAAUAUAUUACAAUAUAUUCAUCCAAUAUUUUAGACCAAUUCUUCACCAUAAAUAUCAUAAUGUGGCUUUUGUUCUUUCUUAAAUUUAAAUUGAAUUGUCUUAUAUCAAUUUGUUUGUGAUUUUUUCAUUAACUUCACUUUCAUUUGGUUAUCUUUGGUUUUUGAAAAGUAUUAAGGAAUUAAUUAACAAAAUAAUGUUAAGAAAAAUAAUUUUCUCUCUUUUGAUUUUGAUUUUGUAGUAGAAAAAUAUAAUUAAAAUUAUUUAAAAAGUAUGUAAUUUUAAAUUAUUUAAUAUUUAGAUAAAAAAAAUAAGUCUAAUGAGUUUAAAAUAACAUAUAAAAAUAAUUUAUUUAUUUUAAAUUUAUUUUUUAUUUUCCAUUAUGUUCUCUUUCUCUUUUACUUUUUCAUAUUUUUUCUUACGAAGAAUCAAACACAACCUCAUAUUAUAUGUCAAGUGUUUGUCUAUAUUUGAGCAAUGUUAGAUACGGCCAUGGAUUCAUCAAACUAAACUGAUUUUAAUAGAUACUUCACAAAUUGAUUUAUACACUAAAUCAUUGGAUAGCAAUGAUGCAUUGGAAUUAAACGUAGGAUGAAGCUCGAAGAACACUGUUUGUGUAACAACAUAUUUAUGAAAUUAUGCAAAGGAUGAGCUUCGGGGUAGUAGUACAAGGUCAUUAAUGGAGAGCCGUGUUAAACCUUGAUUGUGAUUGGAUUCCGUUAUCAGCAACAGCAACCUUGUUUGUAACCUUGAAAGUCAUUCUGUCCACAUCGAAACUCCAAUUUGACGUUUGUAAUUACCAUUCCUGGAGUGUUCCUUGAUUGAAAUUUAAAUAAUAAUUGCGGCCCACAAGGAAUAUUUUCGAUUCUGUGGGAAUUUGACAAGGUUUGUUAGAGAAGACUGGUGACAUGUUGACUUCAAUGGUUCAAAUAGGAGACGUAUGUGGAUUUGGGGGGUUUAAUUGAAACUGAGUCCCUAUGGCUUUUUAAUAUUUGCAUUGAGCAGUCUCCAUGUGACUUCCUAAUUCCCACCAACCCUCCUGUCCAUGCUGUGAAACUAAAUUGUAAUUUAUCAGCCUUUGUCAAUGGUUUCUAAAUUAAAGAUAUAGACCAUGCAUGUACUUUAAUAAAAGCAAAUCUAAAGUGUAGAUAGCAGCAAUGGUGACACCCAAUAUUCUCCAUAAAAUAGAAUUAGAAUAAGCAGUGUUACAUUGUUCAUGAUCACCUACAAGCAUACAAGAACUUCCAUGAAUAACUCAUAGCAAUUGCCAACAGGGCGUCGUAGAGACUCAUACAUAGAACACUAUCCACCCAGAGGAAAGGACAAGACCAGUGCGCUGCAGCUCUUAUUUUUCACAUGUAUACCACCACUCGUAAUAACCAAAUUCACUCAGUUGGGAUAGGUGGGAGAUGGUGGUUUGUGGGGUGGCUUGUGGGGAGGAGUUGGAGGAGGCUUUAUUUUCUGAGGCGGCUUGUAUGAGUGUGCAGGAGGAUGCCCGGGAGUGUGACCAUAAUGUGGUGGCUUCUCUCCCGUAGGUGGUUUGCCAAAUGGGCUUGGUGGCUUCUCUCCCUUAGGAGGUUUACCAAUUGGGGUUGGUGGCUUGUGUUCUGGGAGUGGUUUCUCUCCCUUGGUAGGUUUGCCAAUUGGGGUUGGCGGCUUAUGUUCUGGGAGUGGCUUCUCUCCCUUGGGAGGUUUGCUAAUUGGGGUUGGCGGCUUAUGUUCUGGGGGCGGCUUCUCUCCCUUGGGAGGUUUGCCAAUUGGAGUUGGCGGCUUAUGUUCUGGGAGUGGCUUUUCUCCCUUGGGAGGCUUGCCAAUUGGGGUUGGCGGCUUAUGUUCUGGGGGUGGCUUCUCUCCUUUAGGAGGUUUGCCAAUUGGAGUCGGCGGCUUAUGUUCUGGAAGUGGCUUUUUUCCCUUGGGAGGUUUGCCAAUUGGGGUUGGCGGCUUAUGUUCUGGGGGUGGCUUCUCUCCCUUGGGAGGUUUGCCAAUUGGAGUCGGCGGCUUAUGUUCUGGGAGUGGCUUCUCUCCCUUGGGAGGUUUUGUUGGUGGCUUGUGUUCUGGAGAUGGCUUCUCCCCUGGAGGCUUGUGCUCCGGAGGUGGCUUCUGAAAUGGCGGGGGCUUGGGGUAAUGAGCAAGAGAUGGAGUACUGGUGAGAACCACCAUUCCAAGCAACAAUACUAGCAAGCAUGUGGGAGACAUCUUUGAGUAGUUGUAGCUAAGAUGGCGCAACACUGUAGGCAUUGGGUGGCCUUUUAUAAAGGGCUGGACCCAACAGCCAUAUGACACGUGUCAUGAUGACAAAUGAAGUUGAGGGGAUCCAGAUGGGUCCUACUGAGUCGAAAACUUGCACUAAUUGAUCUGGUGAGAUGACUAUUUCUGUCCUUUUGCCCUUCUCGGCCACCCUGUGCUGUUUUCCUUUUGCACGAUUUUCGUUGCCAAACAAGCAAAUAAUAUUUCGCCAAGAAAGAGGAGAGUGAAUGUGGAAUGCAUCAAGUCCCAUCAAGGAUGGCAGAGAAGAAAUAGAAGAUUGCCCAACUGUGAUAAACAUAGCAUACACGUAGCACCAGGAACUUCAUUUACUUCCAUCUAAUGGAACAUAACAAUCUUCUAAAGUUUUUGCAUGAUUUUGUUAUAUGUCUCUUAGCCUAAAGUUGGAAAUGCGCAACAAAUUUUGUCACUUCUCUAUUUCCCACUGAUGAUGUUAAUUAGCCUUCAUAGAUAUCAUCCUUUCUACAAAGUGCUUCAUUUGUGUGUUAUUGUAAAGUGUAAGAAAAGUAAUUGAACAUGUUCUUUUUCCUUUCAUAGAUGACUUUUGAUGUGCAUUUUAAAAGCAGCGCUGUGAGUCGGUGACCUUGAUUCACACGGAAACUAAGGCUCCUAUAGGACCCACUUUUAGCUGGUUAGGGGUGAAGAAAAUAUCAACUUUUCAGAGUGAUUUAAGUCAAGGCCAAGCCUCACUGUGUCAUUACUCGUGUGAAUUUUAUAUGCACAUACAUACAUAAAUAAAGUAUGAGACCCAAAUAACACCUUCCCUUUACAAACUUAACCCCAGCCGCUCUCUUUCAAUUCUUUUCACACAAGGGUAUUGACUCUAUAAAGGUCAAGAAAAUCAUAAUUUCCUAGGGUUUACAAGGUAAUUGGCUUAAUGCUAAUGUGAAAACAUAAAAGAUAAUAGUAUAUUGUAAGCUAACGAAUAUUCUAUAGUUAUAAUUAUUUGUGAUGUGCAUAAAUAAAUCUUCAUAUAUAUAAUGGAACAAUGAAUAAAGAACCAAUGAAAAAAUACUAUAUAUCAUUGCUUGGCAUUUAAACCGUAUAUGCUGCUCUUUCUAGCUACUCCAUCCACUGAAAGACAACAAGGUAAUCCAUGUUAUAAUGAUAGAAGAUACUGUCUCUAGGCUUUUUGUGAUGAAAAAUAUAAGAUAUGGGUAGGGUUGACCCUUGUAUGUUUGUCCUAUAAACACUUCAAAGUAACAUAUUUUUCUUCUUUAGCAACUCAUAAUGAUGGGGUUCAUUUGCAUGUCACUGAGUUGAAAAGUUGGACAAUUGCCCAUGUCGCCUUCCUCCUAGAUUCCGUAGUUCACGGGAAGGUAACUCAAGUUUGACAUAUUUUGAAUUCUUUUCACUCGGACGUCUUCAUAACCUGACAAAACAAAAAUGAAAAACAGAGGAUUGGUAUAUUAUUCAUGGUAAGCCUCAAAUUAUAGUAGUAUGAGAAAGGAGAAAAAGAUUUUGGGAACUCCAAUCUGGAUAAUUCUCGUUUCUUCUCUUGAAUAAAAAUUUCACUUACCUAACUUCGUUUGGAGAAAUGGCAUAUUUUAAUUUUGUACGUCAUUGCUAAUAAAUGGAGCAAUUUAGCAUGUUUUGUGACUGAAACUGCAAAUGUCCAAUUGGCAUUUCUUCAUUUCCCACUUAGGAUCUGAUCUUGUAGACCAUAUAACGAUAUGUAUCUGUGCAAGCAUUGAAAACUAAUGUGAACUAUGAGGAGUUACAAGCCACUGGACUGUAGAGCGAGUGCCAAGAUUUAAAUCUUCAGGCUCUAUCUGGGUAAGGGGAGGAUAGCGACCUAACCUUUUACCAAAGGCUUAGAAUUUAGACUUUUGGAAAAAAAUUUCUCAUGUUUUGGCUGGAUUUCUUGUGCUUGGCGCAAAAAGGAGAUGGCCUCAAGAAAUAGCAGACUCACUUUUGUUUUCAGCCCUUAAUAAUUCUCCACUGCUUUCCAUAACUACAUGGGUUAUACAUGCAGUCUGCUGCAAUAUUCCAGUUAUAUUUAUUAUUUCAAAGAGGGUGAAUGACUUCACAUGCAAUAUGUUGCAGUAACAACCCAAAUUUUGGCACACCAUCUUAAGAAUAGAAAAGUAUAAUAAAAGAAAUCAAUCAGAGAAUCACUUUGCAUGCAGUUCAUAGAGUUCGCCCAAAAUGGAGCCACAUGUACGGACAACCCCACAAUAGACAAUCUUCUCUAUACAGUAAUAAAAUACAGAAAUGGUUAAUGAAGCUCUGUAUUUCCUUAUCAUAUAUGACCGGUUGAAAACUCAGCAAGUCUUCCUCAAUCACAGACAGUUGGAGUUGCUUCAUCAAAAUCAUGCCUUCAUUACUGGCUUCAUUUUGGUUUCAAUGUCUGUUCUACCCUUAAAUUGGGUCUCUGCUUACUACCGGGAUAUCCUUUAGCGUCCUGCAAUUCUACUAGAUUAAAGAGAAUGACUUAAUUCUGCAUUCUGCCGUCCCUAGUCCAAGUGGUACUAGAAUUGAUGUUUCCUUUAGUGUCCUUUCUUCAUACUUUCAGGUUCUUCCCUUGUUUCAAUAAUGCUGUUUUCCUUCAUGUUUAACCUCUGUUGAACCACUUAAAACAACACAAUUUGCACACCAAUGUUUCUUUACAGAAAAGACUGUUUGCAAAAAUGCACAUGUUAUAAGGUUAAUGGAAGAAUUAAUUUGGGGAUAAGGGACUAGGAUUGGGCCAAUGAAGUUUGGUGUUAAAUUUUGAUUAUGAUUGCUUUUCAUUAUCAGGUACCUUAUAUUUGCUGAUGCUAUCUGGAACUAAAUUCAAAUCAGACAUUAUCCGAUUACUAACAGGACAUAUCAUGUCCCUCUGCAGAGUUUCUAAACUAACAUGUAUCGAAAUGUGGCCCCAAAAGGAAGGCUAGGAAGAUGGAGGAUUUUGUAGGAAUCGACCAGAAUCAGAUGGAAGAGAGAUAGUCCUGUUGACUUUAAUGGUUGUGAUAGGAACAUGCAUCAUUAUAUGAGAAGUUGCAUGAAUUUAUGUAUCCUGUUAUCGUUCCUUGACGAUUUCCCAAUGCAAUUUCACUGUCCACAAGACUAACCUCUCCAUGCAGUCAAAUGAAUUGUAAUUUCUCUAUUGGUACCAGUAGUACAUUUCAUACCAAACAUAUAGUAAAUAUAAAAUAUAAAUAGAUCAAGGAAAUCUGAAUUGUAGAUAGCACUGCAAGUAACACUCAAUAUUCUCUAUAUAUAAUAAAAUAAACAGUGUCACAAUACUCAUCACCCAGUGGCAAGGGAGAAAAACCUACAAUGAGUACUCAAAUCACCAUUCUCAAACAGAAACAUAGCAGUGACUGAUACAUAGAACCUAUAUGCUCACAGGGAAAGAAUAAGAUGACCAGUGCACAGCGGGCAGCAGCUCUUAUUUUACGUACAACUCAAAUCCCAAACUAACCAAAGUCGCUCAGUUGGGAUGGGUGGGAGAUGGUGGUUUGUGGGAUGGCUUCUGGGUAGGAGCUGGUGGCUUCUGUCCCUUUGGUGGUUUGCCUAAUGAGCUUGGUGGCUUGUGCUCCGGGAGUUGUUUCUCUCCCUCGAGUAGGUUUCGAGUCUUGUCAGAUGGCUUGUGUUCUGGUGGUGGCUUCUCUCCCUGGGGUGGUUUGCCGAAUGGGCUUGGUGGCUUGUGUUCGGGGAGUGGCUUCUCUCCCUGGAGAAGGUUACGAGUUUUGUCAUAUGGCUUUUGUUCUGGUGGUGGCUUCUCUCCCUGGGGUGGUUUGCCGAAUGGGCUUGGUGGCUUGUGUUCGGGGAGUGGCUUCUCUCCCUGGAGAAGGUUACGAGUUUUGUCAGAUGGCUUGUGUUCUGGUGGUGGCUUCUCUCCCUGGGGUGGUUUGCCGAAUGGGCUUGGUGGCUUGUGUUCGGGGAGUGGCUUCUCUCCCUGGAGAAGGUUACGAGUUUUGUCAGAUGGCUUUUGUUCUGGUGGCGGCUUCUCUCCCUGGGGUGGUUUGCCAAAUGGGCUUGGUGGCUUGUGUUCGGGAACUGGCUUCUCUCCCUUGGGAGGUUCAGUUGGUGGCUGCUGUUCCGUAGGUGGUUUCUUCACCGGCGGCUUGUGCUCCGGAAGCGGCUUCUCUACCUGGAGAAGCUUACGAGUUUUGUCCGAUGGCUUGUGUUGUGGUGGUGGCUUCUCUCCCUGGGGUGGUUUGCCAAAUGGAGUUGGUGGCUUGUGUUCGGGGAGUGGCUUCUCUCCAUUGGGAGGUUUAGUUGGUGAUUGGUGUUCCGUAGGUGGUUUCUGAAGUGGGGGAUGCUUGGGGUAGUCAGCAAGAGACGAGGUAGUGAGAACCACCAGUCCCAGCAGCAACACUAGCAAGCAUGUGGAAGACAUCUUUGAGUUCAGGCUGAGAUCUGUGCAAGGAUAACAGAAUUAGGUGGCCUUUUAUAGAGGCCUGGACCCAACACCCAUAUGACACGUGUCAUGCACUCAUGGUGACACAUAAUUCUAUGGGACCAUUUGGGUCCUACAGAAGUUGCAAAGUUGGACUACUGAGGUGUGAUCACAACUUUUGUCCUUAUUGCUUUCUCUGCGGCCAUUGCACGAUUUCCUUUAGCAUCAUUUUCUUGGCUAAAUAAGCGUAUUAUAUUUGUGGCAGACCGUCCACGUGUCAUAAACAGAUAUAUUAUAAUAAUGUAGUAUGCUUUUCUCCAAUGGAACAUGACACUCUUCUAAGUCUUGUUUUAAAUAUUGUGCAGGAUUACUUUAUACGUUGCAGUUCCAAGUCAAAAUUGGUGGGCAAACGUUGGCCUUUUUUCAUUUCACCUAAGAUUAAUGCUCACCUGGGAUAGGCACUACAUGACUUAUCUGCUCUUUUACUGUAAAGUUGCUUUGUGUAUGAGAUACACCUCCCCUGCACACCCUCAACAUUCGUUGCUCUGUUUUCCUUGUGUCCAGACGAGGAUAUUAAUUGGAGGCUGACAAAACGACUGCUAGCCCAGGAUUUACAAGGUCCUGGUUUGAGGCUUCGGUGAAAGUAUUUUUGAAAAGACACACAUAGAGAUAGUGCGUUUGGUGCAAUGCAGCACUGUGAGCCAUUCUGACGCGUUCUUAAUUUCAAAACUAAUGAAUGCUUCAAAAUUUUAAGAAGUGACAUUUCCAAAUAUUUGAGUUCGUUUAAUUGAACAUUGGAUAACUAGUGAUCAUAGAUUAUUAUCUGUGCUUGGCACUAUAAGAGGGUAUAUGCUUCUUUUUCUGGCCCCUCCUUCAAGGGAGGAGGGACAAUGUGAUCUGUAACGUUAGAAGCUAUUCCAUGUCAUCUUUGGGCUCAGUUCAAAACUAAAAGAUAAUGGGGGGGGGGGGGGGGGGCAUAUCAUUUUAUAUUUCUUCUAGAAGGUUUGUUCUGGAAAUAUUUCACAGGAGCAUAUCUUUUUCUUCUAUUACGUCAUCCGCAGCCUCCAAUAGGUCGGUUAACAAGCCACCGAGUUGAAAAGUUGGAAAAAUGGGAACACAGCCCGCCUCUUGUAUUCAGUAGUUAAAUAAAAGGUCACUAGAAGUGAGAUCCCUUUUGGCGUCUUGAUUUUCAAUCCAGCACCUCUGUGACCUGACAAACCAAAAAAACUAAAAAAUAAAAAACAGUACGUGGGUUGGUGUUAAGCAUCAAGACAUGUUAAUGAAAGAAGGUAGAGAAUAGGAUAUUGAAAUCCCAAUCCUGAUAACAUGAUUUUCUUUGCUAACAACCAUAUUAUAUUUUAUCAAGAAAGAGUAAUGCAUGUGGCGUCCAUCAAGACCCAUUAGAGUUCCGCUAAAGCUAUAGUUCUGUCAACGUUAUCAUUUACGUUUCCUCUAGAUAAUGGCAUUUUCCUCUAAAGCUCUUGCACCAUUAGGCUUCAAGUCAAAAUUUCACAUGUGAACUUUGGAAAUUUUCUCCAUUUGCCCCUAAGGAUACAGUUAGAAUUGACUUAAAAUCCUGAUUGAUAUGUACUAUUAACCAAAGAAUAUUGUAUAUAAUAAUUGAAAUAUUGUUGAUUCAUCGUGGAAAUACAUUUUGUAAGGAAAGUUGUUGAGAAUUUAGUAUGCUAUAUGGAGAAAAAAGUCAUGACUUAAGGUUGUGUAUGUAUAUUCUAUAUCAAAUAUUAGGUAGGAAUGUGGGAAAGAGCAGAGUGUAAUGAUAAGAAACAAAGAAAUAUAAGAUAUUCUUGAAAGUGGAAAAUAUAAAAUGGCUAACGAGUCAAAUUUAUGAUGCGUAAGGGGGAUCAUGUCACAUAAGAAAACCAUGGCAUACUAAAGACGUACGUGUGGUAUGGAGUAAUAAUUUUGUUAAAAUAAGUUUCUUGUUGGAGUACAUUAGGUGACUAUUCAUAACGUAUCAAAUUAAAGAGUCAAGUGCAUCAAUGAAGGCAUAUGUAGAAAAUUUGUUUGUGACAUGUACCAUAAAGAUAAGAUUGACUUGAUAGAAUUUAGUCUAAGUAGGAGUUGUUAAAGGUGUCUUAAAUUUCUAAUUGAUGUAUAUUUUUUUCUAAAAAAAUAUUAUAUAGAUAUUUUAAUAAAUGAUUAAUUCUUUGUAAAAAUACUUACAUAAUAAAAAACAUCAUUAAAAAUAUCUUUAUAAAUAUUUUAAGUUACAAGAAGGAAAAAAACCACUGUGAGAUAAUGAUGAACAUGCAACACUGUACCAAGUAAAUAAAAAUGUGAUAAAAAAAAAAGAGAAACACUCGAUAAAGGAAGGCUCGUAUAUAAAGAGUAAUAUUUUUAAUCAUAUGAUAGAAUGAUUUUCUCUCAUUCAUGAAUAUAGGCAAGAUUGGGGAACCAUUAUAAAAUUUUGUACACCUCGUGUAAAUUGAUGUUUGUCUUCAUAUUUUACACCAACAAAUGACAUUGAAGUUGUCAUUGAUAAAAGGGAAAAGGCAUGCCUCCACACCAUGUGCUUGAUUCGAAUGGUUCAAGUUUGAAGAAUUUUCUCCGGAAGAUCUAAAACAUUUUCGCCUUUAAAUUUCAUUUGAUUAUUAAUAUCCGAAAAAAUAGUUAAAUACUCUUUCUAUUUUUGAGUUGUUGAAUUUUUUGAAAGUUUUUAUAUUUGUUAUCAAGAAUUUCUAUUUUAUUAAGGGUGAAUAUUUAUAAAUAAGAUAUUAUAUAAUAUUUGGAUAAGAGAGAAUGGUGGAAUAUAAUAAAGUUUUAAUCCUUCCCAAUUUUGAACCUUUUUUUUUUUUUUUGAUAUAAUCGCCUUUCUCUUGCAAUCCUAUUAUCAGGUACCUUAUAUUUGCUGAUGCUAUCUGGAACUAAAUUCCAAUCAGGCAUUGUCCAAUUACUAAUAGGACAGAUCAUAUCUCUCUGUUUCUAAACUAACAUGUAUCGUAAUGUGACCUCAUAAGGAAGGCUAGGAAGAUGGAGGAUUUUGUGGGAAGCGACCAGAAUCAGAUGGAAGAGAGAUAGCCCUGUUGACCUAAUGGCUGUAAUAGGAGAAGCGUGUGGUUUUAUGGGACUUAACUGAUACUAAACCUGUAUGAUGCUUGGAGUGGUGUUUCUUUCAUUUUGUUAAGAAAAUAUGGCAGCAUACAUGCUUUCAACUGAGUGCAUCAGAGCAUCCAUAACAGAUGGUCUGCAACCCUAGGUGCAUGCCACUUUCUGACUGAUAAUGAAAUUGUCAGGUACCUGGCCUUGACUAAGCUCAACAGCAUCACAUAAAGAGAAGCUUUCAUACUUAGAUUACUGUUUAAAGUUUUUGCUUAUUUGAUUUCUUAAUGCCAUUAUGACAUUAUUGAUUCAAUUCUGCUUCCGAUUUUCGAAGUUCUGGGCAUCUACUGAUUGCAUCAUUAUAUGAGAAGUUGCAUGAGUUUAUGUAUCCUGUUAUUGUUCCUUUGCGAUUUCACUGCUCACGGGACUAACCUCUCCAUUCAGUCGAAAUGAAUUGUAAUUUCUUUACUGGUAGCAGUAGUACUUUUCAUAGCAAAGAUAAUAGAAAAUAUGAAAUAUAAAUAGAAGGAAAUCUGGAUUGUAGAUAGCACCAUAAGUAACACUCAAUAUUCACUACAUAAUAAAUAGACAGUGUUACAUAGGUAGAGAAACCUACAAUGAGUACUCAUCACCAUUCUCAAACAGAAACAUAGCAGCGACUUAUACAUAGAACCUAUAGGCUCGCAGGGAAAGAGUAACAUGAUAAGUUCACAGCGGGUAGCAGCUCUUAUUUUACGUAUUACUCAAAAUCUCAAACUAACCAAAGUCACUCAGUUGGGAUGGGUAGGAGAUGGUGGUUUGUGGGGUGGCUUCUGGGUAGGAGCUGGUGGCUUCUUUGUUGGAGUUGAAGGAGGCAUAUUCUUCUGAGGUGGCUUGUAUGACUCUUCGGCACUCUCUGCAGGAGGGUGCCCAGGGUUGUGACCAGAAGGAGGUGGCUUCUGUCCCUUUGGUGGUUUGCCUAAUGGGCUUGGUGGCUUGUGCUCCGGGAGUUGUUUCUCUCCCUCGAGUAGGUUUCGAGUUUUGUCAGAUGGCUUGUGUUCUGGUGGUGGCUUCUCUCCCUGGGGUGGUUUGCCGAAUGGGCUUGGUGGCUUGUGUUCGGGGAGUGGCUUCUCUCCCUGGAGAAGGUUACGAGUUUUGUCAGAUGGCUUUUGUUCUGGUGGCGGCUUCUCUCCCUGGGGUGGUUUGCCAAAUGGGCUUGGUGGCUUGUGUUCGGGAACUGGCUUCUCUCCCUUGGGAGGUUCAUUUGGUGGCUGGUGUUCCGUAGGUGGUUCCUUCACCGGCGGCUUGUGCUCCGGAAGCGGCUUCUCUACCUGGAGAAGCUUACGAGUUUUGUCAGAUGGCUUGUGUUGUGGUGGUGGCUUCUCUCCCGGGGGUGGUUUGCCAAAUGGACUUGGUGGCUUGUGUUCGGGGAGUGGCUUCUCUCCAUGGGGAGGUUUAGUUGGUGGUUGGUGUUGCGUAGGUGGUUUCUGAAGUGGGGGAUGCUUGGGGUAGUCAGCAAUAGACGAGGUAGUGAGAACCACCAGUCCCAACAGCAACACUAGCAAGGAUGUUGAAGACAUCUUUGAGUUCAGGCUGAGAUCU
rnacentral:lncRNA from 1 species